rnacentral:rRNA from 1 species
UNAAGUGCCCCGCCUGGGGAGUACGGCCGCAAGGCUAAAACUCAAAGGAAUUGACGGGGGCCCGCACAAGCGGCGGAGCAUGCGGAUUAAUUCGAUGCAACGCGAAGAACCUUACCAAGGCUUGACAUGUGCCGGUCGGCUCCGGAGACGGGGUUUCCUCCUUGUGGGGCCGGUUCACAGGUGGNGCAUGGUUGUCGUCAGCUCGUGUCGUGAGAUGUUGGGUNAANNNNNNNCAACGAGCGCAACCCUUGUCUCGUGUUGCCAGCACGUUGUGGUGGGGACUCGCGGGAGACUGCCGGGGUCAACUCGGAGGAAGGUGGGGAUGACGUCAAAUCAUCAUGCCCCUUAUGUCUUGGGCUUCACGCAUGCUACAAUGGCCGGUACAGAGGGCUGCGAUACUGUGAGGUGGAGCGAAUCCCUUAAAGCCGGUCUCAGUUCGGAUCGGUGUCUGCAACUCGACACCGUGAAGUUGGAGUCGNUAGUAAUCGCAGAUCAGCAACGCUGCGGUGAAUACGUUNU